rnacentral:SRP_RNA from 1 species
GCCGGGCACAGUGGCGCAGGCCUGUAGUCCCAGCUACUCAGGAGGCCGAGGUGGGAGGAUCACUUGAGCCCAGGAGUUCUGGGCUGUAGUGCGCUAUGCUCAUCAGGUGUCCACACAAAGUUCGGCAUCAAUAUGGUGACCUCCCGGGAUCGGGGAACCACCAGGUUGCCUAAGGAGGGGUGAACCGGCCCAGGUCGGAAACAGAGCAGGUCAAAACUCCCGUGCUGAUCAGUAGUGGGAUUGCACCUGUGAACAGCCACUGCACUCCAGCCUGGGCAACAGAGCAAGACACCAUCUCA